GUGCAAAUGGUAAUUCUGAAGGUGGUCGCUUCCAGAAAAGUCUCGUUUUAUGUCAAACCAGGAGAUAGGACCACAAAGGGUUGAUACUAUGCACCCGGCACGAAGGAUAAGCGGUACUCUCCAGGGUAAAUCCAACACUGGACCACAAGAAGUCAAAUAUUUUGUUAUAUAUAUUCUGACAUAGGGCCGCAAAGGGUUAAGACAGCCUAGGCAAUAUAACCUCAACAACAGACAGCAGAUGUGCCCUCUGUAGCUACAAAGAGUGACCUUAGUGGUUACAAUAGAGCAGCCAGAAUAUUGGCCCAGCUCUUGGCAUUGCCACAAGUGUGAACGCUGGCAGGAUAUCGCUGUCAUCAUGCUUUUGGUGAGAGC